CUCUCGAACCCUCCAACCCGAACCCGACCCAAACUUGAAAAUGCCCAACCCGAACUUGAUUUUGUUCGGGUCGACUCGGGUUGGGUCGUCGGGUCGGAUUCAUUUUUGACACCCCUAGGUAAAAUGAUAAAACUGAAAUGAAUAAGAAUACGGGAAUAAUUUGGAACUUUUGAAAUGGAAAUUUAAAUUGAAGUAUAAAGACCUUUUCCCCGUAGCUAAUAGUUAGGAAGUUGUCCUCUUUAAGGAAGCUUUUCAUUUCACAAUUUUCUUUAUAUUCCAAGCCAGUAAAACAUUACUGAUUUGCAAAGUGUUAAUUUAUGAGACUGCAUAGACAGUAAAUGAGUUCAACCAGCAGUCCGGUACUGAUGUCUUGUUGUCUAACUUGAAUUCGUCAUUGCAAUUUAUAGGUCAGCGAAUAUUGGUGUUUUUAUAUGCUUAAGUGUAGUGUUGUUCACAGGACUCUUGGUACAUACAUAUCAAAGAAGAGGCGAUCGAUGAAAGAGGAUGAGUAGAGCAGAGGAGAGCGAGCAGAAGAGGCGAUUGACGAAAGAGGGUGAGCAGAACAGCAGAAGAGGCGAUCGACAAAAAAGGGUGAGCAAAGCAGUAGAAAAGAUGAUCGACGAAAGAGGGUGAGCAGAACAGAGGAGAGUGAGCAGAAGAGGCGAUCGACGAAAGAGGGUGAGCAUAGCAGAGGCGAUCGACAAAAGAGAAGAGCCGAAUAUUUAGCGUUUUGUGCUGGUCAGGCACUCUUUAUGAGGUCAAUAAUACUCAAGUCAAUUAAAGUAAAAGACGGAUUCCUAGUGAAGCUGCAGGUUUGGGAGAUGUUGCUGAAAGUUUAAUUUAAACAUUAACAGUACAUUUAGUUUAGUAAGAAGUUGAAUCGGGAUCUGAUCAUGGGAAUGUCAGUCUUGCUUAUGUGUUUAUGCUGCCUGUCGGAUACAAUAAAGGAUUGAAGCAUACUUCUUUUUCA